rnacentral:lncRNA from 1 species
CAUUGUUUUGCAUGAUAAUAAAAAUGUGUUGACCAUAACAAAGUUGUUGGCGGGAAGGGACAGCCAUCUUUUAGAAAUACAUGUUACAUAGGCACAUACACAUUCAAAUGUUCACAACACAUUUUAUAAUAAUAAAAAAUUAACAAACACGAUUGAACAAAAUGAUUGUCAUACACAUGAUCAAUACAUAUAACUCGAUGUAUGUAACAGCCUGUUCUUUUUCGUUUUUCUUUUAAAAAGUAAAUAA